rnacentral:rRNA from 1 species
AGAAUCAACGCUGGCGGCGUGCCUAACACAUGCAAGUCGAACGAGAAGGUGGAGCAAUCCAUGAGUAAAGUGGCGCACGGGUGAGUAACACGUGACUAACCUACCCUUGAGUGGGGAAUAACUUCGGGAAACCGAGGCUAAUACCGCAUAACACCUACGGGUCAAAGGAGCAAUUCGCUUAAGGAGGGGUCGCGGCAGAUUAGUUAGUUGGCGGGGUAAUGGCCCACCAAGACGGUGAUCUGUA